CUAUAAGCUAGAAAUGUAGAGUUGGCCAAAGAGAGGUUAAAAUGGAUGAAUAAGGGUGCCUCGAAACCAACCACAGCUUAAAGAUCAGCUUACAGCUGAAGUGAAGAUCAACUUACAGCUUACAGCUAAAGACGAUGAAAAGUGUGAGGAUAAAAUAAGGUCCUGAACUGUGUGAAUAAAAUACUAUUGCACGCGAUUCUGAACCCUGACCUGAAAUAGAACACAUCUCCAAAGAAAUAAGGAAAGAAACAUAGAGAAGAGUGGAGAGAGAAGAAACUGAAAUAAA
rnacentral:lncRNA from 1 species